GCCCUCGUAGUUCAACGGAUAGAACACGCCCCUCCUAAGGGCGAAAUGCAGGUUCAAUUCCUGCCGGGGGCACCA
rnacentral:tRNA from 1 species